UACGUAGGGUGCGAGCGUUGUCCGGAAUUAUUGGGCGUAAAGGGCUCGUAGGCGGUUUGUCGCGUCGGGAGUGAAAACCUUGGGCUUAACUCAGGGCUUGCUUUCGAUACGGGCAGACUAGAGGUAUGCAGGGGAGAACGGAAUUCCUGGUGUAGCGGUGAAAUGCGCAGAUAUCAGGAGGAACACCGGUGGCGAAGGCGGCAUCCUGGGCCGGUAUUGACGCUGAGGAGCGAAAGCCAGGGGAGCAAACGGG
rnacentral:rRNA from 1 species